GAUGGGGAAGGCGUUAUCGGGUCGUGAAGAGAAGGUCUCAACUUGUGCUAAACUAUAAAUGAUUGUUUAUAUGGCCUAUUAUUAUUCAUCAUAACACAGCGAAACAACAAUUUUAGAUGCUUAAUGAAGAGGAGAAUGGACCAAAGCUUACGUUAUUAUUAUUGAUUACAUAUAUUAUAAAAAUGAAUUGUGUAAAUGUAUCACAUGUAACCUCUCUCUAAACCUUCAAUUUUAUUAUUAUUCAUCAUAACACUUCGAAACAACAAUUUUAGAUGCUUAAUGAAGGAGAAUGGACCAAAGCUUACGUUAUUAUUAUUGAUUACAUAUAUUAUAAAAAAAGAAUAGUGUAAAUGUAUCACAUGUAACCUCUCUCUAAAC
rnacentral:lncRNA from 1 species